ACCCGCUAAGGAGUGUGUAACAACUCACCUGCCGAAUGAAUUAGCCCCGAAAAUGGAUGGCGCUUAAGCGCGCGACUUAUACCCGGCCAUCAGGGUGAGUACGAUACCCUGAUGAGUAGGAGGGCGUGAAGGCUGUGGCGCAGCUUGGGGCGUGAGCCCGAGUGAAACAGCCUUUAGUGCAGAUCUUGGUGGUAGUAGCAAAUAUUCAAA
rnacentral:rRNA from 14 species